rnacentral:rRNA from 1 species
GACGAACGCUGGCGGCGUGCUCAACACAUGCAAGUCGAACGGAAAGGCCCUGCUUGCAGGGUGCUCGAGUGGCGAACGGGUGAGUAACACGUGGGUGAUCUGCCCCUUACUUUGGGAUAAGCCUGGGAAACUGGGUCUAAUACUGGAUAGGACCAUGCUGUAGGUGGUGUGGUGGAAAGAUUAGUUUCGGUAAGGGAUGAGCUCGCGGCCUAUCAGCUUGUUGGUGGGGUAAUGGCCUACCAAGGCGUCGACGGGUAGCCGGCCUGAGAGGGUGGACGGCCACAUUGGGACUGAGAUACGGCCCAGACUCCUACGGGAGGCAGCAGUGGGGAAUAUUGCACAAUGGGCGCAAGCCUGAUGCAGCGACGCCGCGUGGGGGAUGACGGCCUUCGGGUUGUAAACUCCUUUCAGCCAUGACGAAGCCCUUGUGGUGACGGUAGUGGUAGAAGAAGCACCGGCUAACUACGUG